CUACUGCGCACGGGAAUAGCUGGAAAGAGAGAGUCUGGAGUUGUGUAGCCGAGACCUGAGCCCUAGGACCAUGCCUCAGGACUACCUGGCAUGAUGACUUCUUGCUGUUCCCAGUUCACCUGGCCGUACUGCUGCUCCAGUUUCAACUGUUCUGCCUGCGGCUAUGGAAUCCUAACCUGUUCACCGGACGUGCUACCUGUCCCAGACCUGCUGUUUUCAACUCUCUAGAGACAGCAGGAGUGGUAGAGAUACUCCUAGUGAUCGGCUAUGAAAAGCCAACUGACAUUUACUCAUGAGGUGCUGACUUCCUAGCCACCAUGCUUCUACACCUGCAUUGCUUGCUGUUUGGGGUUUUAAGCUGGGUUUCUAUACAGAACUUUGAGAUAUCAGCUGAUGUACGAAGGGCUAUAUAAAUACAUUUGAUUUGAUUUUGAUUUGAUUUGAACCCAGACGACCCUGGGCUAAUUGUGCGCCGGGACUCCUAAUCACAGCCGGUUGUGAUACAGCCUGGAAUCAAACCAGGGUCUGUAGUGACGCCUCUAGCACUAAGAUGCAGUGCCUUUAGACCGCUGCGCCACUCGGGAGCUUUUCACUUUUUUCCGCAUUGAGGAACCAUCUCCAAAAUUCCAUUGAACUUUUCUAGACUCUCUUCAGCAGACAGAGACGGCAAAGAAACGUUUAAAUGAUUGUGAAGAUAACUUUGUUCACAAGCUGUGGUCUUUGUAUAAUUGUGCUAUGCCAUGCAUGUUGAUUAUUUCUGUGCUUUCAAGACAACUGGGAACUAUGGGAAAAAAUGAGGUCAAAUCAGGACAUUGGUGAUGUUCAGGUCGGAAAGUCGGAGCUCUAGAAAGAUGCAUUUAUCCUGAUCUGGUAUUCAUUUGUUAUUAAUAUCGAUAGAGAUAUGGUAUUCUACCUACAAAAAAUCUCCUGUUGAUUAUUUAUUGGCGUAAUGCAUAGCUAGACCUGCAGAUUGUUUGUCAUCAUGUAGGUCUGCCUUUUAAAGGUGUAGGAAGUGGAAACUUGUAUAUUAACAUUUACAUUGAUUAUGCUGCUUGGUUGUACAAAAAAAUGACAUGGUAAAAUGAUAAGCUCGUUAUAAACUAUGAGUUAUGUUA
ensembl:lncRNA